rnacentral:rRNA from 1 species
AGCGAACGCUGGCGGCAGGCUUAACACAUGCAAGUCGAGCGGGCCCUUCGGGGUCAGCGGCAGACGGGUGAGUAACGCGUGGGAACGUGCCCUUCGGUUCGGAAUAACCCUGGGAAACUAGGGCUAAUACCGGAUACGCCCCUUGGGGGAAAGGUUUACUGCCGAAGGAUCGGCCCGCGUCUGAUUAGCUUGUUGGUGAGGUAACGGCUCACCAAGGCGACGAUCAGUAGCUGGUCUGAGAGGAUGAUCAGCCACACUGGGACUGAGACACGGCCCAGACUCCUACGGGAGGCAGCAGUGGGGAAUAUUGGACAAUGGGCGCAAGCCUGAUCCAGCCAUGCCGCGUGAGUGAUGACGGCCUUAGGGUUGUAAAGCUCUUUUGUCCGGGACGAUAAUGACGGUACCGGAAGAAUAAGCCCCGGCUAACUUCGUGCCAGCCGCCGCCGUAAGAC